rnacentral:rRNA from 1 species
GUCGAGCGAGAAAGUGACUUCGGUCGCGAGUAAAGCGGCGAACGGGUGAGUACAACGUGGAUAAUCUACCCUAGGGUCUGGGACAACCCCGAGAAAUCGGGGCUAAUACCGGAUAAGACCACAGUAUCCAAGGAUACAGCGGUAAAAGAUUUAUCGCCUUUGGAUGAGUCCACGCCCCAUCAGGUAGUUGGUAAGGUAAAGGCUUACCAAGCCUAAGACGGGUAGCCGGCCUUAGCGGGUGAACGGCCACAUGGGGACUGAGACACGGCCCUGACUCCUACGGGAGGCAGCAGUGGGGAAUAUUGGGCAAUGGGCGAAAGCCUGACCCAGCGAUGCCGCGUGAGGGAUGAAGGCCUUCGGGUUGUAAACCUCUGUCAGGAGGGACGAUGGGACACUUGUGUCUUGACGGUACCUCCAGAGGAAGCCCCGGCUAACUCCGUGCCAGCAGCCGCGGUAAUACGGAGGGGGCAAGCGUUGCUCGGAAUUACUGGGCGUAAAGGGUCCGCAGGCUGUCAGGCAAGUUGGUUGUGAAAUCCCAAGGCUUAACCUUGGAAUUGCAUCCAAAACUGCCUGACUAGAGUCCAAGAGAGGUUGGCGGAAUUCCCGGUGUAGCGGUGAAAUGCAUAGAUAUCGGGAGGAACACCAGAGGCGAAGGCGGCCAACUGGCUUGGUACUGACGCUCAGGGACGAAAGCGUGGGUAGCAAACCGGAUUAGAUACCCGGGUAGUCCACGCCCUAAACGAUGGAUGCUAGGUAGGGGGAAUUUAAUUCUCCCUGCCGUAGUUAACGCAUUAAGCAUCCCGCCUGGGGAGUACGGUCGCAAGGCUGAAACUCAAAGGAAUUGGCGGGGGCCCGCACAAGCGGUGGAGCACGUGGUUUAAUUCGAUGCUAAGCGAAAA